rnacentral:rRNA from 1 species
AACGAACGCUGGCGGCAGGCCUAACACAUGCAAGUCGAACGAGAUCUUCGGAUCUAGUGGCGGACGGGUGAGUAACGCGUGGGAACGUGCCCUUCUCUACGGAAUAGUCCUGGGAAACUGGGUUUAAUACCGUAUACGCCCUUCGGGGGAAAGAAUUUCGGGGAAGGAUCGGCCCGCGUUGGAUUAGGUAGUUGGUGGGGUAAUGGCCUACCAAGCCGACGAUCCAUAGCUGGUUUGAGAGGAUGAUCAGCCACACGUGGGACUGAGACACCGGCCCAGACUCCGUACGGGAGCAGCAGGU